rnacentral:rRNA from 1 species
UACGAAGGGGGCUAGCGUUGUUCGGAAUCACUGGGCGUAAAGCGCACGUAGGCGGACUUUUAAGUCAGGGGUGAAAUCCCGGGGCCCAACCUCGGAACUGCCUUUGAUACUGGAAGUCUUGAGGCCGAGAGAGGUGAGUGGAAUUCCGAGUGUAGAGGUGAAAUUCGUAGAUAUUCGGAAGAACACCAGUGGCGAAGGCGGCUCACUGGCUCGGUACUGACGCUGAGGUGCGAAAGCGUGGGGAGCAAACAGG